AAAUUGAAGAGUUUGAUCAUGGCUCAGAUUGAACGCUGGCGGCAGGCCUAACACAUGCAAGUCGAACGGUAACAGGAAGCAGCUUGCUGCUUCGCUGACGAGUGGCGGACGGGUGAGUAAUGUCUGGGAAACUGCCUGAUGGAGGGGGAUAACUACUGGAAACGGUAGCUAAUACCGCAUAACGUCGCAAGACCAAAGAGGGGGACCUUCGGGCCUCU
rnacentral:rRNA from 1 species